UGUCUAUUUAUGGCUUGAUGCUUUCCGGAAAUGGACCAUUCACCAGCAACCUCAGUUCGGUUUGGAUCACAUGAAACACAAUACAACUUGGCGGUUCAUCUCUCCUGCAGAAGACACACCAAACUUCUGCAUGAAGAACCAGACCUCGACAACACAUUUACCACUAUGUCACAGACUAAGGUCAGAAGUACCUAUUCUUGCAGUAGCAAAAGGUGGAGUCAAUUCGUACCAGUGCAAGUAUCCAACACACCAUUAUACCAUUAUAAGUAUCCAACACACCAUUUAGGUUUUGCACAACCAUGAAACUAUUAAGAUGGUAUCUUAAAAUGAAGACAGAGAUCUUCCUUCAUUACUGAACGGUGCAACAAGAGCGAGAGAUAAAGAGAUAGAUCUUCCUCUCUCUCUCUCAAUUACCACACACGGUAUAGUUAUUGGAGGCAAGUAAAUUGUCUACUGUUUCAUGUACUAAAGCAUAGUAAGUGUGAUGUACCUAUUAAUAUACUAUGAAUAUUGUGUAAUGUA